rnacentral:lncRNA from 1 species
UCUGAAAUCGAUGUUAAUAGUCUUUUCUACUAGCUAUGCUAAAUAAAAAGAAGGAAUUAAUAUCAGUCCAAGAGAGGGUAAUCCGCAACCCUUAGAAUGCUCAAGUAUCUCCAAGGAAAGGGGUAGUCCACUCUCUGCUUCAAAGAACUAAGCUCUGAUAUUGUGAUUGAGAAAAUAUCAGUUUAGAGGAGGGUAAUCCGCAACCUCUAAAAAAUGCUAGUAUACCUUCAAGUAGAGGGGUAAUCCACACUCUACUAAGAAAGAACUAGCUCUGAUAUCUCAAGUUAGUGUAGUCUCGACAAACUGUCACGGACACAAAAUACAAACUUGAAAUCUAAUAAGAAAUUCAAGAAGAAGUGGCAGAACUAGAUUAAACAGAUGAGUACAAGAACAACACUAGAAAGGUGAGCUAGAACUCCA